GGACCUGACUGCUAUCGGAUUGAUACUAAGCCAUGCGAGUCAUUGUAGCAAUACAAGGCAUACGGCUCAGUAACGCGUAGUCAACCUAACCUAUGGACGGGAAUAACCUCGGGAAACUGAGAAUAAUGCCCGAUAGAACAUUAUGCCUGGAAUGGUUUAUGUUCCAAAUGAUUUAUCGCCGUAGGAUGGGACUGCGGCCUAUCAGUUUGUUGGUGAGGUAAUGGCCCACCAAGACUAUUACAGGUACGGGCUCUGAGAGGAGUAGCCCGGAGAUGGGUACUGAGGCACGGACCCAGGCCCUAUGGGGCGCAGCAGGCGAGAAAACUUUGCAAUGUGCGAAAGCACGACAAGGUUAAUCCGAGUGGUUUCUGCUAAAGAAACCUUUUGUCAGUCCUAGAAACACUGAUGAAUAAGGGGUGGGCAAGUUCUGGUGU
rnacentral:rRNA from 1 species